AAACACACACACACACACACACACACACACACACACACACAUACACAUACCAUAAGUACAAAUUUUUCCACAUUAUUAUUAUUAUAACAGUGUUCAUAGUGUUAUCAAUAUAAACUUUGUGAUUCUUUAAUACCCACAUUAGGACUUUAUUAAUUUAACUUUUGUUAUUCAUUAACAAACUAUUGAAGAAUAAUUAACUCUAUAUAACAUUUUUUAACCAGUGUAAACCAGAGAAUUUGACCAAUCACCUACUGCUCCAGUUCAGAGUUUGACCAAUCCCACCUGAGGACUGUUCCACAGAACAAGCUCUGAAUUCUCUUCUUUUCGGCACAAGUUGCACAUGCGCAGCAUCUCGAGCGCGUCUUCUCAGACACGGGCGCACUGAGCGUAGGCAUCGGCGCACAAAUUGCGCAGUCGAGACGCAGUGGUACUCUCGAUGCAUUACAGGUGAUGCCGUGUUAGAGUGCAGGAAAAAGUUUGUGGAGCUGUACGUGUGCUCCACUGUUCCUCUGUAGUCGUAGAGAUUGUUAAAGAAGACUACAGGAUGUUAAAUAUAUAUAAUCUGAAUGCCACUAGUUUCUUCCCAUCAGUAAUAUUUCUACAAUGGUGUUCAGUAACUACUGUGAUGGUUAAUUAUUGAUUGUAUUAAGCAUCUGUUUCUUAAUAAUUCAGUGCACUAUGCAGUAUGUUGUUUCAGUUACGUAUUGGGAGGUAAGACUAAUGAUUCUGUACGGUGUCUGUUGUACCAGUUGGCUAAUGUUUGUGCUAGACAUGUCAUGUUAUGAUUAUUAUGUGUUAAGCAGUUGUUUCUUUAUUUCAUUCCUAGAAACUACCUCGCACACAUGACCCUGUGUGUAAUGGUAUUCUUGCGUAAUAAAUGGUUAAACUCUAUCUGAUGACUCAAACUCCCUGACCAGAGUUCUGCGGCGGUCAAUAACACAAUCACCAGUAACAGCGGGCAAUCCGCAACAAGUACUGUCACUGCUGCCAGGCCCUGCCCUCUGAUUGGUCCACGGUGACAGGAUGCAGCACAUCAGGGAGUUUCUCCUUCCUAAUCCUGCUUCUACUGUGCACCACUGUCAUGUCACCUGCCUUGGAUGGGUCGACACUUUACAGCCUUAAACUAUUGAAGUGUGUCUUGAGGAUCUCAAAGUUCAUUUCUUUCCUGAUUCUAGUCUUGUCCUGAUCUGUUUAAAUCACCCCUGAGGUCCAGCAAUGGCAGAGGAAAUGGAGUCAUCAGGACCUUCUUGCAGGUGAACCGUCUCAGGUGUCUCCAGGUAGCCCAAUGGAACUGAACUACGAUGCAGAAUGGACAGGAACAUUUGAAGAAAAAUGUUUAAAUCAAAUCCAUAUACAUACAGUAAGAGAGUCAGUGUUCAUUCCAAGCUCUACAUGGUGAUAUAGUCUAUACUCUCUGAGUAAAUGGGUCAUGACCUGACUCAGGACAUUGGCCUUAAUGCUGGUAGUCAGGACUGAACACAAGUUUGUGUGAACAGGAAAAAAGGGAGGAUUGUGAUUUAUAUUCAUGUUCUAUUAACCUUCCUCUUAUGUUAGCUCUUUGUCACUAUCUCUUAUGUUAACGGGUCGGUUUUGAACCGUGUCCUAAAUCAGUCAUAAAAUUGCAUCAAAACAAUUAUUUAUCAUAUGAUUUGUUUCUUAGCUCUUAGAUACCAUGUUAGGCUUCCUUAUCCAUAAAAAGAUUGGUUUUACUAUUUUGGUGUGAAUGAUAAAAUUAACCUCAAAGGAAUUACAAAAAUAAAUGAAAUGUUGUUUUGUUUCCUGACUAUUACUGAGAGGUAUUACCGUAGGACACACCUCUUAAAUAAAUCUGUUAUAUAUAUGUUUUUAUUAUUUUAAUUUUAUUAACUAUAGUAGCAUCUAUGGUGUUGCGGGUAAAUUUGACCCAUGUAUUUUUAGUUCACAAAAAGUCUUUUUUUUUUUUUAAACUAAAACAUUAAUACAAAUAUAAAAUGAAAAGCAGAACAAUUAAUAAUACAAAGAUAAAUUAGAUUAGAUGUAGAUUUGCAAGGUCAAACAAA